CUCUUUGGUUAUCUAGCUGUAUGAGCGUCCUGCAAUAACCUCAUAAAGCUAGGUUACCAAGGUU
rnacentral:pre_miRNA from 1 species